UGGGGAAUUUUGCACAAUGGGGGAAACCCUGAUGCAGCGACGCCGCGUGAUUUAGAAGGCCUUCGGGUUGUAAAAAUCUUUUUUACGGGAUGAAAAUGACAGUACCGUAAGAAUAAGGUCCGGCUAAAUACGUGCCAGCAGCCGCGGUAAUACGUAUGGACCGAGCGUUGUCCGGAAUCAUUGGGCGUAAAGGGUACGUAGGCGGCCUAGUAAGUUAGAAGUGAAAUAAUAUAGCUCAACUAUAUAAAGCUUUUAAAACUGCUAGGCGUGAGAGAUGGAAGGGAAAGUGGAAUUCCUAGUGUAGCGGUGAAAUGCGCAGAUAUUAGGAAGAAUACCGGUGGCGAAGGCGACUUUCUGGUCACCAUCUGACGCUGAGGUACGAAAGCGUGGGUAGCAAACAGG
rnacentral:rRNA from 1 species